CCUACGGGUGGCUGCAGUGAGGAAUAUUGGUCAAUGGUCGGGAGACUGAACCAGCCAAGCCGCGUGAGGGAGGAAGGUACAGAGUAUCGUAAACCUCUUUUGUCAGGGAACAAAGACUGGGACGCGUCCCCGGAUGAGUGUACCUGAUGAAAAAGCAUCGGCUAACUCCGUGCCAGCAGCCGCGGUAAUACGGAGGAUGCGAGCGUUAUCCGGAUUUAUUGGGUUUAAAGGGUGCGUAGGCGGGAUUUUAAGUCAGCGGUGCAAGGCCGGGGCUCAACCCCGGACCUGCCGUGGAAACUGGCAGUCUCGAGUUGGAGAGAGGUAUGCGGAAUGCGCGGUGUAGCGGUGAAAUGCAUAGAUAUCGCGCAGAACUCCGAUUGCGAAGGCAGCAUGCCGGGUCCACACUGACGCUGAGGCACGAAAGCGUGGGUAUCGAACAGGAUUAGAUACCCGAGUAGUC
rnacentral:rRNA from 1 species